UGAGGAAUAUUGGUCAAUGGGCGGAAGCCUGAACCAGCCAUGCCGCGUGCAGGAAGGAGGCCCUACGGGUUGUAAACUGCUUUUAUACGGGAAGAAAAAUCUCCACGUGUGGGGACUUGCCGGUACUGUAUGAAUAAGCAUCGGCUAACUCCGUGCCAGCAGCCGCGGUAAUACGGAGGAUGCAAGCGUUAUCCGGAUUCAUUGGGUUUAAAGGGUGCGUAGGCGGCUCUUUAAGUCAGUGGUGAAAUCCUGUCGCUCAACGAUAGAAUUGCCAUUGAUACUGAAGAGCUUGAGUUCAGUUGAGGUAAGCGGAAUGUGUAGUGUAGCGGUGAAAUGCUUAGAUAUUACACAGAACACCGAUUGCGAAGGCAGCUUACUAAACUGACACUGACGCUGAUGCACGAAAGCGUGGGGAUCGAACA
rnacentral:rRNA from 1 species